rnacentral:piRNA from 1 species
UGUCACAAGGGUACACGAAUACUGAGAGU